GGAGGAAACACGUGCAAAGGGAAUUGUAAUUUCAUGGUUUAGAUUGGGACUUUGUAGGAGAUGUUGUAAGUUAAAGUAGAGGCAAGUGAGCAGAUGGAUUGUGGCAAGGAAAGAAAAGUGAGGCAGACCAAAUCGCAGAGCAGGGACACACUGAAACAGGGUCCCUUCUGCACUCAGAGACAACACUCCCAGGAGAGUGGGAGAAGGCGGGGAGAAGGCGGGGAGACGGGACAAGAGUCCUCCUUCUGAUCCCGGGGUCACAGCCAACAGGACGGAAUCGGGGAGACGAGGCGCUGUGCUUCCACACAAGCGACAACGGUGAGGCAGGGCCCUUUGACCCUCUCUAGCUGGCACACGCGCUUUUUCGCAUAGAGGAUCUUUGGGUGUCCUGGCAAGAUACUGGCUGUGAAGGGAGGCCUUCGACUCCUGCGGGGCAACGGGUUUUCGUUGGCAAUUGCCUAAGGAGAACCCCAUUUGGCUGGUAUUUCUGGAUUCCAGGAUGUAAGUAUCUGAUCAGGUCUUUGUGGGUACAGGUCUGGCCGGUGUGAGAGUUGUCCGUUGUGUGACCCUCAUUCAUUCCCGGAGGCUCCCUGGGUCCCUCUCAACCGAUUCUUGCGCAGCCGCACCGAUCCCCGGGAAACUCCCGAAAGGUCGAAAGCGAUGGCAAGAUACGCUUCCCUGC